UACGUAGGUGGCAAGCGUUAUCCGGAUUUAUUGGGCGUAAAGCGAGCGCAGGCGGUUGCUUAGGUCUGAUGUGAAAGCCUUCGGCUUAACCGAAGAAGUGCAUCGGAAACCGGGCGACUUGAGUGCAGAAGAGGACAGUGGAACUCCAUGUGUAGCGGUGGAAUGCGUAGAUAUAUGGAAGAACACCAGUGGCGAAGGCGGCUUACUGGACUGUAACUGACGUUGAGGCUCGAAAGCGUGGGGAGCAAACAGG
rnacentral:rRNA from 1 species